rnacentral:rRNA from 1 species
GACGAACGCUGGCGGCGUGCCUAAUACAUGCAAGUCGAGCGAGCUUGCCUAGAUGAAUUUGGUGCUUGCACCAAAUGAAACUAGAUACAAGCGAGCGGCGGACGGGUGAGUAACACGUGGGUAACCUGCCCAAGAGACUGGGAUAACACCUGGAAACAGAUGCUAAUACCGGAUAACAACACUAGACGCAUGUCUAGAGUUUAAAAGAUGGUUCUGCUAUCACUCUUGGAUGGACCUGCGGUGCAUUAGCUAGUUGGUAAGGUAACGGCUUACCAAGGCAAUGAUGCAUAGCCGAGUUGAGAGACUGAUCGGCCACAUUGGGACUGAGACACGGCCCAAACUCCUACGGGAGGCAGCAGUAGGGAAUCUUCCACAAUGGACGCAAGUCUGAUGGAGCAACGCCGCGUGAGUGAAGAAGGGUUUCGGCUCGUAAAGCUCUGUUGGUAGUGAAGAAAGAUAGAGGUAGUAACUGGCCUUUAUUUGACGGUAAUUACUUAGAAAGUCACGGCUAACUACGUGCCAGCAGCCGCGGUAAUACGUAGGUGGCCAGCGUUGUCCGGAUUUAUUGGGCGUAAAGCGAGUGCAGGCGGUUCAAUAAGUCUGAUGUGAAAGCCUUCGGCUCAACCGGAGAAUUGCAUCAGAAACUGUUGAACUUGAGUGCAGAAGAGGAGAGUGGAACUCCAUGUGUAGCGGUGGAAUGCGUAGAUAUAUGGAAGAACACCAGUGGCGAAGGCGGCUCUCUGGUCUGCAACUGACGCUGAGGCUCGAAAGCAUGGGUAGCGAACAGG